UUGUUUCUGUUAGAUACAAAACCAAGUGAUCUUAGCGUAUUUCAGCCAUAUCAUUUGAGAAACAUGAUCAUAUAAAUAGAUUCAGCUUUAUUAUGUUUAUUCUAAGGAUUCAGUAAGAGUCUUUUAGUUGGGAGUAGAAACUAGCACCGAGCGAGGGAAGGGAUGGUGAUUUCUCUCGUCAAAGAGAGAGGUCGGAGUCAUUAGUAGCAAUCCCUAAAC
rnacentral:lncRNA from 1 species